ACCUUUUAAGUAUAUCAAGUACAAUUGUCUUCCAAUCAAUAGGUUUAACUGUUAGUUAAAAAAGGUA
rnacentral:tRNA from 1 species